rnacentral:rRNA from 1 species
GCGUACGCUGGCGGCAUGGCUAAAACAUGCAAGUCGAACGCGAACGGAGAGCUUGCUCUCUUAGUAGAGUGGCGAAAGGGCGAGUAAUGCGUUUCUAACGUGCCCCAAGGUCAGGGAUAGCCCGGGGAAACCCGGAUUAAUACCUGAUGACCCCGCGAAACCGCAUGGUUUUGCGGGCAAAGGCUUGCUACCUUGGGAGCGGGGAACGUCCUAUCAGCUUGUUGGUGAGGUAACGGCUCACCAAGGCUAAGACGGGUAGCGGGGGUGAGAGCACGGCCCGCCGCAUCGGGACUGAGACACUGUCCGGACUCCUACGGGAGGCUGCAGUAACGAAUAUUCCGCAAUGGGCGCAAGCCUGACGGAGCAAUGCCGCGUGCAGGAUGAAGCCCCUCGGGGUGUAAACUGCUGUCAGAGUUCAGCAACACAAUGAGCAGACUCAAAGGAAGGGCCGGCUAACUUCGU